GUUCUUGUGUGGGUGGACAGGUGACGUGUAGUAGGCCUAAAAGGGGCUCGGACUGUCCCAAACCGACCCCCGCACCCUUCCCAAAUCCCCCAGGUGGCGAUUGCUGUGGUGAUUCCUGUGGGCAGUGCCAGUACAAUCAGCGCUUGUAUGAAAACGGCCAAACGUUCAAGGACCCGGAUGAUGCCUGUAAGACGUGCACUUGUCAGGAUGGUCAGGCAACAUGUGGUUCGCCUGCAUGUCCCCAA
rnacentral:lncRNA from 1 species